AUUACUACUAAGCAUUCGGAAUGUAUUCAUUGUCACUUUAACUCCAAUUGUUUUGCUACCACUGAUUCUUCUUAUUGACGGAAACGAAGCAAAAUGUGCAUACGUUAUAAUCAUAAUGGCAGUGUUUUGGAUAACAGAAGCUCUGCCGAUAUCUGUGACGGCACUUCUACCAAUCAUUCUAUUUCCUAUGGUCGGACUUCUGUAUGCAAAAGAUGUUUCGAAAACAUACAUCAAUGACACUGCUGCUUUAUUUAUUGGAGGUUUAAUUGUUGCGGCCGCCAUUGAACAUUGGAACAUACAUAAACGUCUUGCCCUUAGAGUCCUUAUGCUUGUUGGUUCAGAGCCAAGAUGG